rnacentral:lncRNA from 1 species
AAAAAAUAUGGCCAAAGGGAGCUCCCUGGGCUGAUGAACUGUAGGAGCUGUGAUGACGAGUUUAUAAUUUUAGGUUUUCUUUUUGUGUGUUAUAAUUUAUACUUGCAGUGAAAUCUGUUAAAUCCUUAUCUGUGUAGCAUCAGCAUUAGUUAGCUGAGAGAAGUGAGAAGGUUAAGCUGUAGCAGUAAGCUGGCCAUUGGUUCUCAAAGAGCAGCUACAGAGCGGUAGUCACCAGUGAAAUGUGACAAGUCACAGCAGCCAAGGCAUAGAAGCCUCUCAUGGGAACCCUCAAACAUUCAGGAGGACUUCAAUUUCCUGUCAU